UACAGAGGGUGCAAGCGUUAAUCGGACUUACUGGGCGUAAAGGGCGCGUAGGCGGACAAAUAAGUCAGUUGUGAAAGGCCAGGGCUCAACCUUGGAACUGCAAUUGAAACUGUGUGUCUAGAGUCGAGUAGAGGGGAGUGGAAUUUCCGGUGUAGCGGUGAAAUGCGUAGAUAUCGGAAGGAACACCAGUGGCGAAGGCGACUCCCUGGGCUCAGACUGACGCUGAGGCGCGAAAGCGUGGGUAGCGAACAGG
rnacentral:rRNA from 1 species